rnacentral:rRNA from 1 species
AUUGAACGCUGGCGGAAUGCUUUACACAUGCAAGUCGAGCGGCAGCGCGGGGCAACCUGGCGGCGAGCGGCGAACGGGUGAGUAAUACAUCGGAACGUGCCCAGACGUGGGGGAUAACUACUCGAAAGAGUGGCUAAUACCGCAUACGAUCUAAGGAUGAAAGUGGGGACCGCAAGGCCUCACGCUCUGGGAGCGGCCGAUGUCCGAUUAGCUAGUUGGUGAGGUAAAGGCUUACCAAGGCGACGAUCGGUAGCUGGUCUGAGAGGAUGAUCAGCCACACUGGGACUGAGACACGGCCCAGACUCCUACGGGAGGCAGCAGUGGGAUUUGGACAAGUGGGGCAACCCUGAUCCAGCCAUGCCGCGUGAGUGAAG